rnacentral:rRNA from 1 species
GUGGGGAAUAUUGGGCAAUGGGGGAAACCCUGACCCAGCAACGCCGCGUGAAGGAAGAAGGUCUUCGGAUCGUAAACUUCUAUCCUUGGUGAAGAUAAUGACGGUAGCCGAGAAGGAAGCCCCGGCUAACUACGUGCCAGCAGCCGCGGUAAUACGUAGGGGGCAAGCGUUGUCCGGAAUGAUUGGGCGUAAAGGGCGCGUAGGCGGCCUGGUAAGUCUGGAGUGAAAGUCCUGCUUUUAAGGUAGGAAUUGCUUUGGAUACUGUCGGGCUUGAGAGCAGGGGAGGUAAGUGGAAUUCCCGGUGUAGCGGUGAAAUGCGUAGAGAUCGGGAGGAACACCAGUGGCGAAGGCGACUUACUGGACUGUAACUGACGCUGAGGCGCGAAAGUGUGGGGAGCAAACAGGAUUAGAUACCCCGGUAGUCC